CGCUCGUUUUUCUCUCUCACUCGCGACUCUCUCUCUCUGUGUAGUGCGCCGGCCCGUGCUGCGCGCCGGACCGUCGCCGUCGAGCCGGCCGCCGCCGCCGUGCACGCGCCGCCGUGCUGCGCGCCGUCGCGCCUGCCGUGCGCGCCGUGCGUUGCCGAGCUGCCGUCGUCGCUGCUGCUGCUGCCGCCGUGCGCCGCUCCGCGCCGGGCUGCUGCCGCAGUGCGCCGCUCCGCGCCGGACUGCCGCCGUCGGCUGCUGCUCUCCCUCUCUCUCUGUGUUCCGACGGGAAGCAGCUAGCCGGCCGAAGCAAGCAGCACGGGAGAAGAAAGCCAGGAAGAAGAAGAAAAAAAGGAAAAGUUGGAAAUUUCGGAUUUUCGUCGGAUUCGUCGUCAAUCUUUCGAAGGCGAUCUUUCGGUGGUGCGACCUCACGUCACGACUAGUGCUCGGCUUCAUCGUCGGUAAAGGCAAGUGAUUGUAGUGAAUGGCUACGCUUUAACCUCUUACUGGAUUGCCUACAUUCCUUAAUUACAAUGCAUUCAUCUAAUCUGAAUAGCUGAUGAUGAGAUGGUUACUAUGUUGUUUACGUUUCUAGAAGUUUACUCGAUGAUGGAUUUAUGAAGUGCAGUAAGCACGAUAUGCCAUUAUGCAGUUGUUCAUUAUUGUUUAAUGCAAUGUUUUAUUUCGAAGUCUCAAGCAUAUUCCGGGAGUUAUGAUAGUAUGCUUGAAGCACGUCAUACAUAUUCAUCUCAUGCAUUGGAAGUUUGUCGCCGUCUUCUGGCCGCGACUGUACCGGUACAGUACCGUAUGUUACCCGAGAAGGGGUACGGUGCACACCCUUACGUUGCCCGAGGAGGGGUAAGGGUGAGGAGAGCAUGUCAUGUGCAUGGUUAUGUCUUCUUAUGAAAUUCAAUGGGUUAUUUGCAUCAAAUCUUAUUUCCUUUAAUUAGCUUGUAUAUAGAUAUAUAUGCAGCUCUGAAGGCUUAUACCAACCGAAUGUUAAAUGAUUAAUGUUAUCGUUGGACUUGCUUAGUCAUAAUUGUUUCUCCUAGUGUUGGCGGUCUGUUUCAUUACUAGUUUCUAUUUAGAAUUGUUAGCACAUUCAUCUGUGGCUAAUAGCUUUUGCAAAGUACCUUUCACUUGCUGAGAUUUUCGAAUGUCACCCGUGCUUUCUUUCCAGGUCCCUUUUGAGGUGUCAAUCGCUUGCGGGGUGGGUAGCUACACGUCGCCUGCACGUUUACCUUCUCUCUUGAUGCCCUGUUAGAUAUUGUCUUUUGCUCUGUAAUGUAUAUAAUGAGUUUGAUGGUGGUUCAGUUGUUUGGUCGAGGCUUGUACCUCGUUGCCAGGAUCUUUAUUUUGCUAGUGUGAUAUUCUAUA